UGGGGAAUAUUGCGCAAUGGGGGAAACCCUGACGCAGCAACGCCGCGUGGAGGAAGAAGGUCUUCGGAUUGUAAACUCCUGUCUUCUGGGACGAUAAUGACGGUACCAGAGGAGGAAGCCACGGCUAACUACGUGCCAGCAGCCGCGGUAAUACGUAGGUGGCGAGCGUUGUCCGGAAUUACUGGGCGUAAAGGGCGCGUAGGCGGCUCUUUAAGUCAGAUGUGAAAACCCAGGGCUUAACUUUGGGACUGCAUUUGAAACUGAAGGGCUUGAGUGCAGGAGAGGUAAGUGGAAUUCCUAGUGUAGCGGUGAAAUGCGUAGAUAUUAGGAGGAACACCAGUGGCGAAGGCGACUUACUGGACUGUAACUGACGCUGAGGCGCGAAAGCGUGGGGAGCAAACAGG
rnacentral:rRNA from 3 species